AUUAUAAUAUAAAGUCUGGCCUGCCCACUGAAUUUUGAAGGGCCGCAGUAUUCUGACUGUGCAAAGGUAGCAUAAUCAUUUGCCUUUUAAUUAGAGGCUUGUAUGAAUGGUUGAACGAAAUACAAACUGUCUCACUCCUAAAAUUUUAAAAAUUUAGCUUUCUAGUUAAAAGGCUUGAAUUUAGUUAAAGGACGAGAAGACCCUAUAGAACUUUAUAAUUUUUUUUAUAAAUUUAUUUAGUAAAAUAUUUUUUGUUUAUAAAUAUUUUUAUUUUGUUGGGGUGACAGGAAAAUAAGUAAAACUUUUUUAAUUUAAAACAUUGAUUUAUGAGUUUUUGAUCCAUUAUUAGUGAUUAUUAGAAUAAGUUACCUUAGGGAUAACAGCGUAAUUUUGUUGGAGAGUUCAUAUCUAUAACAAAGUUUGCGACCUCGAUGUUGAAUUAAAGAAAUUUUAGAGCGCAGAAGCUUUAAGUAAUAGGUCU
rnacentral:rRNA from 1 species